rnacentral:ncRNA from 1 species
GCAUUGUAUGAAAGGAGAGAAGGUAGACACUCCUGUAGACACAGAUGGAGAGGCCCUAGGGCCUCACAUGACAACCCACCUAAUGCAGAAGCUGAUACUUAGAAUUUGA